GAUGAACGCUGGCGGCGUGCCUAAUACAUGCAAGUCGAGCGAACGGACGAGAAGCUUGCUUUUCUGAUGUUAGCGGCGGACGGGAGAGUAACACGUGGAUACCCUACCUGUCAGACUGGGAUAACUUCGGAAAACCGGAGCUAAUACCGGAUAAUAUUUUGAUCCGCAUGGUGCGUAAGUGAAAGACGGUGUUGCUGUCUCUUAUAGCUGGAUCCCGGCUGCAUUAGCUAGUUGGUAAGUUAACGGCUUAUCAAGGCUACUAUGCAUAGCCGACCUGUGAGGGGGGUCGGCCACACGAGAAGGGAACCGCGCUCCAGAGUACUACGGGAGGGAGCAGUAGCGAAUCGUCCGCAAUGGGGGGAAACCUGACGGAACGGCGCCGAGCCAGUGACAAAGGUCUUCGGUGCGUAAAACUGUGUUAUGAGUGGUGAACAUAUUUCUCCGGAAAUGUACAGAUCUUGACGGUACCUGGUCAGAAAGCAACGGCUAACUACGUG
rnacentral:rRNA from 1 species